rnacentral:lncRNA from 1 species
AGAUCACCACGGUAACUUCAAGCAACUCACUGUGCUUUGGUGUUGGACUACCUGAAUUUUUAAUUCAAGAUCGAAAGGUUUUUGGGCAUAGUUAAGUACUUGUGAAGUUGGUGCAUGAGUCAAGAUGGAAUUGACCACUCCAAAGGAUUGGAGAGAAUACUUUGUAUUUUAAUUUAGUAAGACCUUGGCCUGGACAGUCCUUGUG